ensembl:lncRNA
CAGAGGAUUAUGUAAAACACUUACUCUGGCCAGAAUGACUCUAUGAGAUUCUGUGGAGACUCUGACCCACCCCACCCAACCCAUGCCACUCGCAGAGGCCUGCAAGGCAGUAGCACAUGAGGUUAACACUGAAAUGGAUGGAAAAGCGCUGGUGCAUUUACUUCCAGCUUCUGCAGUAUCUUGCACAGUAGGAAGUUUUAAUUUUCGUCCAGUGUAGAUGUGCGUCACUGGCACGCAGUGUGAAGAUGGGCAGCUUGGAAGAGUGGAGCAUAAAGCACAGAGGUGUGUUUGCAGUGCCCGGCUGGGACUUCCCGGGCCAGCUCCAGAGGCCUGACUGCUGUGUCUGCGUGGGCCCCCAGGAUGCGUGCAGACAAAGAGAACACCUCUGGAGGACUAAAGUGUCUGUGCCAAAACAGGUCGUCCUCAGAAAGAGCCUGACUAGAGAAGACACAAGAGCACCUUGAGGAACCUUGCAGCUGGGUCCGCCUGCACAAGCUGUGAGGCCGCUGUAGAUGUACACAGACUAUUUCUGGAAACUUCACUGCAAUGACCAGCUUGGGAGACCUGCUGCCUUUAACUCAGCAAGUCCUGGAUUUCACCUGACAAAAGCACCAGCUUUACAACAUUCCAGAUCUUCAGGUUCUGAGUGCCCCACUUGCUUUCUAGUAGUUUCCACAUAAUUGACCCCAUGGCUGCUGUAAGCUACCCACUUAGAAUUUCUAUAUCUUUAUUCAUCCAAGUUAUUUUAGCAUAUUUUAUUGUUCCAAAUUAUGUAGUUUGAAAUUGGUUUUGCCUUGAAUGACUAACUUAUUUCUUGGAAAUAAAUGAUUACAAGCCCCUAAUUCUUUGCGUCUACCUUAGCUAAAGUCAUAUUGAAGCCCUAAGCCGCACAUUUCAAGCCUUGAGAGGACUAGUCGUUCUUGACACAAGUACAUCUGAGAGCGCACAGCACCCGGCCACCGGGACUCUUUGUUUAUGUUCUUCUCAGCUGAUGGCCCUCUGCUCACCCCGCUCACAGUCACAGCCAAAGUUGCCUUUUGCCCUCAUCUCCUGCUCCCCUCUCCCUUACUCCGUCCAGCACACAGGUCUCCGUGCUGUUCCGCAGACAUCCCUCGCUGCCUCGGACACCUUCGUACCAGUGUUCCCUCGGCCUGAACGCUUUCCCUCAGGUGUCCAUGGGAGGGCGCCUUCACCUCCUUCAGGUCUUUGUCCAAAAGUCACCUUCUUAGGGAAUUGUCCUUCCCCCUCUAUGUGAAAAUGAAGCAGCUUCCUGGAACCAACUCUCUCUCCCGCUGCUCUAUUUUUCUCUAUAGUCUUUACCACCACCGGACAUACACUCUAUUUUGUUUAUUGUAUAUUUCUCCCAACUAGAAUACAACCCUUAAGAGGAGAAGAUUUUUAUCUGGUUUGUCACAUCCCCAGUACCUAGGCGAGUGUUUGGCAUGAACUAAUGCACAAUGAAUAUCUUUUAAUGAACGCAUGGACAUUAUAGCCUCUUAUUUGAUUAAGAAUAUAAUUUGAAGUUAUUCCCCCUUCCAUAAUAUUCCUUCAAGUAAAAAUUAAAUGUCUCUAAAAGAAUAACUCAAAAACAACAAAAAAAAUCUCAUUUUCUACAGAUAUAUUUUUUUGAAGAGCAUUUUUUUUCUGGCAAUAAAAGUAAUACUGAUUCAUUGUAAGAAGUUCAAAAAAGUGUGGCCAGUUUAAAUGGCUAGCAAUCCCGCAGAGUUAGGCACCCUUAGCAUUUCAAUGCAUUUCCUUCCAGACUGUUAACCAAGCAUGCACAUAUGUGUGCACACAUAUUUUUAAAUGAAUACAUAAUUGCAUGUCUUGACUAUAUAUAUGUGUUUAAAUUGAGAUUUUACUAUGUUUAAUUUUAUCCUGUA